rnacentral:rRNA from 1 species
UACAGAGGGUGCGAGCGUUAAUCGGAAUUACUGGGCGUAAAGCGUGCGUAGGCGGCGCGUUAAGACAGGUGUGAAAGCCCCGAGCUUAACUUGGGAAUUGCGCUUGUGACUGGCGAGCUGGAGUGUGGCAGAGGGAGGUGGAAUUCCACGUGUAGCAGUGAAAUGCGUGGAGAUGUGGAGGAACACCGAUGGCGAAGGCAGCCUCCUGGGCCAGCACUGACGCUCAUGCACGAAAGCGUGGGGAGCAAACAGG